UUUGUCAUGAAGACGCUGAUGAUGAGCCUCAUUAAAGGACGGUAGUAAUGUGACGUCAUCACCCAGAACGGCUCCUCCUCUGGUCUUUCUGCUCAUGACUGCUGAAAGCAGAGCCCCGCCUCCUGAUGACCACUCGUCCAGCGCUGAAGACUAUGAGAACAUGAUGGUGAGUCCCAAACAUGAACGUCUUAUUACACUGUAAUAACACCACAGUCCAUCUACAGUCUUAGAGAAAAGAGAAAUAAGUGAUGACGCAGAUUUUAGUUCUUUAAGAUGAAGUGGAUGAUUUAUCUGCUCCCCGUUCUUCUACUGGUCACUGUUCAGGAUUAAAUCACUGAUAUUUCCAACACUAGUUCUGCAUUAGUAUAACUGGACAGUCCAUCUCUGCGGUGACUCUGUUAAAGUGAGUGCUGUGCUGUGAGAUGCUGGCACUGUUGUGCAGGAAGCUGGCGGAGUAGAUCAGCACAUCAGGGUCAAUACUUCACUACAUAGCCUGGCCUCACAUGCACUGCUGUAAUUAUACCACACACUGUCCCAAAUCUUUGAUUUUUCAUUGUUAUUAUUAGAUUUUGAGAUAAAUUAGAAAGUUUAUUUAUCUUCUUAGAAAUAAAGCAGCUCUGAUCUAGACCUGCUGUCCAUUAAUAACACUGAAUGAAGCAUCACCUUGUGAACACCUGAAGAUGACCACACUGGAAACACAAGUGUGGUCAUGAAGAACAAACAUAAAUAAACUAUAAACCUGACAGCUGGUGAUUUGAGAGAACUCGCUCCACAUUUUACAGGCGUGUAACUCAGUUUGAAGCUGUAUCUGUAGUUCAUGGUAGAUUAAAAUCAUGGUGCCUCUAAUGGAAACUUCUUACAGGCCAGCAAUGCCGUUAUAAACAUUAGAGGAAGAGUC